rnacentral:rRNA from 1 species
AUUGAACGCUGGCGGCAGGCCUAGCACAUGCAAGUCGAGCGGAUGAAGGGAGCUUGCUCCUGGAUUCAGCGGCGGACGGGUGAGUAAUGCCUAGGAAUCUGCCUGGUAGUGGGGGAUAACGUCCGGAAACGGGCGCUAAUACCGCAUACGUCCUGAGGGAGAAAGUGGGGGAUCUUCGGACCUCACGCUAUCAGAUGAGCCUAGGUCGGAUUAGCUAGCUGGUGGGGUAAAGGCCUACCAAGGCGACGAUCCGUAACUGGUCUGAGAGGAUGAUCAGUCACACUGGAACUGAGACACGGUCCAGACUCCUACGGGAGGCAGCAGUGGGGAAUAUUGGACAAUGGGCGAAAGCCUGAUCCAGCCAUGCCGCGUGUGUGAAGAAGGUCUUCGGAUUGUAAAGCACUUUAAGUUGGGAGGAAGGGCAGUAAGUUAAUACCUUGCUGUUUUGACGUUACCAACAGAAUAAGCACCGGCUAACUUCGUG